AUAGAGAUAUAAAAGAUGCAAGUUUGGGUGUCUAGAGAGAAAAAUGUGAAGAAGAAGAGGGUCUUCUUCUUGGGUUUUUGUUUUCAUAUCUUUCCUCCCUCCAUCUUGAGUUUCCUGAGAGUGUCUCAGAUCUGAAACUCCUUCUUUUACUUUUCAUCUUUGGAAGAGUCCAAAUCAAGAAGAAGGAGGCACCUGAUCAACCAUCAAAGAAGGAUCAGCGCAGUACUAGCAUACUGUGCUGAUUUCCUGAAGCAGGACUUCUGAUCG
rnacentral:lncRNA from 1 species